CGCUUCAAUUAGCCUGCCCGCUCAAAUCAUGCGCGAUGUGCUAGGCCCUGCCGCUGUUGCACGCUGCAACCACCGAGCUCAAUCCCCGCCGCCCACGGGCUCAGCCCCGGCCGCCGCGUCCCCGCCGCCCACGGGCUCAGCCCCGGCCGCCGCGGCGGGAUGCAACCGCCGAGUUGAGUCCCCGCCGCCCACGAGCUCAGCCCCGGCCGCCACCGACCGUCGUCCCGCGGCCCCCGUCUCAGCCCCGACCGCAGCGUCCCCGCCGCCCACUGGCUCCUCCCCGACCGCCGCGUUCCCUAGCAUUUAAUUUUCAUUUAACUUUUAUGAUGUUCGUAUCAAUAUUACAUGCUUGAAUCGUAUAGACAAAAUGAUAUAAUGAUGUGUUCUUCCAGAUAUAUGUCGGCCAUGGGAUCUCCUACAAAGUUUGGAGACAUUACUGUAGGACGACAAAAUUACAAAGUUUUUGGCCGGCUCAUACGGCUAUGGCAUACAAAAAAUAAAUAUGCCAAGACUGAUGAUUCUUUGCUCAGCAUUGAUGGAGUACUUCCUGCAGAAGAUAGCUCCAAGACAAGACAAAUAAAUCUAUCACCUUGAGACGGAUUGGUAACUGUAACAACUGCAUUUGAUACGUACUGCUUUGAUCAGUUAUUUCUCUGAAUAUCAAAAGGAAAAGGAAAUAUAUAACACCCCUGACUCCUGUGCCAUCUCAAGAUCCAAGCAUCAGGUUUAUUCGGUAUAGGCCUUAGCAGUUUCCAUAUUCUGUUUUCUCUUUUCUGGACAGGAAUUGGGUUCCUGGAGGUAACAAUGCUAUUCUCAUUGUGUUUCUCUUUUCUGUUGCAAACUCACAACCGAUAGUCCGAUACAGAUGAUGUGAAUUUUUAUAUGGUAAAAAAUGCAGCAGUGGUUAUUAUUUUGGUGGACCAUAUGCUGUGCCAUCGUUGUGGCCUUAAUCAACAACACAGCUAAUGUGCUCAUGAAUUCGUAGAUAUGUGCAAUUCUAUGGACAAGGGCUGCAUUUUAUGAAUUUGGUGUGUAUAGUGCAUCAAUAUGAAACCAUAGGUUGAAUUGGAACAGUGACACUGUUGAGAAUUGAAAAAUGAUAAUGAGAUGAGGUAAUAACAAGGGAAACAACAAGCUACUAUGGUCCCGGGUGGAGAAGAAAUUACAGAGGCCUUAGUAUUAGGAAACAGCCAAACAUGGUUAGAACGAUCCGAGUAUAUCGAAACUAUUGGUUAAAAUACUUCAAAUAUUAAUCAACGUGGAAACUGCCGUAUAUACUAUAUACCAAUAUACUAUGAUGCAUUUUCUUUACACUAGACUUAUGGUUCGAGGUGCCAUUUCUGUAACUUUGUUUCAGUGUAGGUCAAAAUGCAAAUUAAGAUGCACACAUGUCUACAGAGAAAAAAGAAAAAAGAAAAAAGAAAAAAAAAAGCUAAGUAUUUGUACUCCAAACUAAAUAUGCUCAGCAGGUACUCUGAACUUGGAAUUUGUUAACUUAAAUGGUUAGAUGAGGUCAACAUAUAAGGAUUGCAGUAAUAUUGUCUUGCAUUCUGAACCCCAAUUAGGAGGUCUUAAUUAAACAUGUACAAGCCUUAGUUCCUGAAGUUCUAAUACCAGUAACGAUGGCCUAAUGCUUUGCUACCACUAUAAUGUUGUACCUACCUUCUCCAUUCAUUUCAGAAAAUAUGUGUGCCAUCUGCCAUAGGCUAUAGCUUAUAAAUCCAAGUACAUAUGCAUCAAACAAAUGCAUGUAGAUGUAAAGUAUUAAGCUUACUCACUAAAUUUUGUAAUUAAUUCCUAGCUUUUUUCCAUGUAAAGUGUUAGCCUUCUCUUUAGAAAACUGAAAGUUUCGGGCUUAUAUCAAUUUAUGGUUUGUUGGCUGGAUACUAUGCAAAAUGAAAUGCUUUCAGGAAAUUAAAUUAUUUUGAGGAAAAAAUGAACUCAGAAUAAAGUCAUCGUACUAUUGCAGGGUGCUAUGGUACAAAUAACCAUACCCAACAAAGUUGAAAAACAAUUUCGUCCACUGCUCUCUCUGGGUUAUGUCUACAUGUUGACAGAUGUUAGUGCUGUUCAUGCUACACACAAGAAAUUCAUUUACCACCGCCAAAGCUACAUGCUUCAGUUUAAAACAAGCUCAAAGGUCCGUCUAAUGCAAUCGCGAGGAGCGAGUAUUCCUCGAUUUGCCUUUGAUUUCUCACAGUUUGAUCAGCUUCCGUCAAAAGACAAUCAAUCCAAACCCCUGCUAGAUUUGAUUGGAGUCAUUAGCUACAUUGGCCUAUACGACUAUGCUAGCCCAACGUCUCAUUACAAGCUCAGGAAGAUACAUAUCUGUAACCAAGAUGAACAAACACAGGAAAUAAACCUUUGGGCGAGGAUGGUGAAACAUUUGACGAAAGCGUGGUCCUCUGCAAAUCGGAUGGGAAGAUUGUUGUUUGUGUUUUUGCUGGCCUAACCGUUGGAAAGUAUUUAGAUAAACUCGAGGCCUCUUCAAGUUCAGCUACCAAAAUAUACAUUGACAUGGAAAUACCAGAAGUUGAACAAUAUAACAAAAGGUCCAUCGAUACUUUUAUUACAAAUGGUUCACAUUCUUUUCCAUUAACUAACAUGCAAUCAUGCAUAUGUCUGCUUUCAAGCUAUCAAUGGAAAGUUCUAGUUUUGAGCCAGCAACAGCCUCAAAUUGCCCAUGUGACUCCCUUAAAGCAGCAGGCAAACUCUACAAGCUGGAAGAAAUAUCUACCCUGCCAAUUUCAUCUUUCGAGAACCGGAGAAAAGGCAUCUUCAGAUACCGGCAAGUGAUGCCAGGUUUAUAGGAGCAUCAAUAAUGCCAAAUGAUCACUUCGUGGACACCAACUCACAUCGUUAACAGACUUUGUUAGCUUUAUGUUGUAACGCUGUUACUUUGGAUAUGUUUUAGCACAAUGCUUUUGUUCUGUGACUGUUUGAGUAAUAAAAUGUUAGCCAAAUUCUGAAGUGUUUUGGCACAAUGCUUUUGUUCUGUAA